rnacentral:lncRNA from 10 species
GAACUUUCCAUUCACAUUUUCUGUGUCCAAACCAACUUUCAGAUUUGGAUCUUUAUUAUGAGGAAUCUAGACACACAGAGACCUGCUAACUCACCUCCACAAAUACCAAAGGGGAUUUUCCAGUUCUUGGAGACAUUUGGAGACUUUCCAAAUCAUGGCAGAACAUAGAGAAAUUACCAAAAUGCAAGCCUCUGAAGAAGAGUUCUCUAAACUCCAGAACUCUGCAGACUUCCCGCUCUACUUUAAAAGCAGCAAAACUACAAUACAGAACAAAACAACUUUAAAGGUGACUGUAGGAUAGGAAUGGGGAGGAGGAACUCACAAGCACAUUGGUGAUUUAAGAACCACAGGGAUGCACACUCCAUCCAGGCCGGGAUUAUAUGGUAUGAACAUGAAAUAUUCUAGAAUAGCAAGAAGCCUGAAAGCAUCAAGUCUCCUCUACACGCCACAAUCAGAUGUUCGCAAACUAUUUCCCAAAGAAGGAAGUUGGGGGGUGAAGAUGGUAAACUACAGACAAAACUGCAUGAGAUGUGGAUUAGCGAAAAGGAAAUUCAGAUGUGGGAAGAGAAAUCAGAAGUAAGCACAGGGCAGUUUCAUAUCAUGACAUCGUACACUGCAUAGUUGAUAAAAAGACUGUGCCACAGGCGACAGGUGAGGUAAUGACAUAUUAACUUCAGGACCAUGGCUUGAAGGCAGGGGAUAAAAGAUAACCUGUGUAUGUAUUUCCAGGAUGAAUGAAACCAUAAUCUCUCAAAGUCAAAGAUACUUGGCUCUGAGUUCUCUCUGCCGAAGAAAGAGAUAAUAUCAUCAAAAGCCAGAAUGUUUUGUCAAAGGUCUGGCUGUGGGGCUAGUUAGUUCAGGGCGACAAGCUGCAAGUACAACUGAUAAGAGGCAGAAAAUAACGAAGACCAUGGAAGCUUCCAGAACAAUGUCUUCCAAACAGCGAGACUGCUGAGGGUCGAGGCUCUCUGGAGCCUCAGGUUCUGGGAAUAUUUUGCAACAGACUGCUGCACUGCUUUCGUACCAUGUGAGGACAGGCUGGUAUUCUGCAACGGACCCCAGUGGACACACAGCUGGAGCAGAAACAGCCGCAGAAACUAAUAAUAGAGCAGCCUGGAGCACAAACACAAUGGCUGUGAAAGUCGUGGUGGGCGACACAGACCCACAGGGGGACACGUGAUUGUCACUUCUCCUGCCUCUCUCUCCCUUGUCCUGAUUAGCUGUAAUAACUCUGAUCAGCUUUCAGAGGCAUUCAGACACGGUAGAAGAGCUUUGAAAUGGAUUCCCUGCUCAGGUCUCUCCUGGUCUCAGGGUCUGGAGGAAAUGCUUUCAUUUUGCCUUCAGGUAACAUUUUCCAAAAGUGAGAAAUAUUGGAAAUAAGCGUUUAUUCAGUUCUCACUGUGCAUUAGGCACUUUACAUCCUCUAUCUCAUUUAAUCUUCACCACAACCCAAUGUGGCACUAAAUCUCUUUCUAAAAGUAUUUCCAUUUUUACACAUAAAUAAAUGGAGGCUUGGAGAAAACAGUAACUUGGCCAUGUCACACAGGGCCAUAAUUCAAGUCCAGUUUGUUUGGAUUCUAGAAUGUGUGCUCUUCUCUUCUCCACUACUUUUUGGAUGGUGGUUUUUAAUAAGCAGAGUGUUUGGGACAGCGGAGUUUCUAUUCUAGUCUAUUAUCAGCGAACUGUUCUAACACAGCUCUGUUCCAUCAAUGCUUCCAACUCCUGCUGUUUGUAUACCACAGUAUGUAAAGGUCUGUAAAUAUUUGUAAGGUUCCAGCCCUCGAGAAAGGAAAAUAUAAAUUUGGGUGGGAUUAUUUUAGCCAGACCCUAUCCAAAGUGAUUUGUUUUUACCUUCCAAGGGUAAUCUCACAAGACAAUUUAACAUUUACUAAAAGCUUACUAUUUUCUUGGCAUUGUGCUAGGAGCUGAAGAUAAAACAAUUAACAGGACACAGAACUUAGACAUCAUUAGAGGACUCGUGAUGCUCAGUAAACAAUUAACCAACCUUCCUUUCAGACACACACUUCCCCUCCCAUAGCCUCACCUCAACAGGGAUUGUCAGAGCUUGCUGGAUGCCUCCUACUCUUACUCAGGAUGCUCAGAAUCUCUCUUCCAUCACCCAUAGAGAAAAAGAUGCCUGAGACAUGGGAUCUGAGCCCUCCCACCUGAGCAGUGGUUGCCAAGGACUCUUUCUCUCCUCCUCUCCCCACUUCCACCACAGCUGCCCUGUGACCUCCACUGCCCUUGCUCCCUCUGCUCACCUGUUAUAAGGACCAGGAAUUAUGCUGAGGACACACAGUAUGGAAACUGGGCAACUUAGAUGUAUCCUAUAGCGAAAUAUAGCCUUAUAUAUGAGAAAACAGUUUUAAAUAAAUGUUAAUAUUCCUGUGUAUCCCCUACAGAAAUAAAAGAUGGCAGUUUAAGUUAAUAAUAUAUCCAUGCUCUAUAAUAUUUUAUCAUGGGAAAAUAAAUUUUGAAUUCCUAACAACCAACUUUAACACAAAAUAAAUUAGACCCUCUCAUCAAUUGUGGACUGGCUACACAUUUUACAUUUAAAAAAUGAUUUAUCCCACUUAAACCUGGGAGGUAGAGGUUACAGUGAGCCGAGAUUGUGCAACUGCACUCCAGGUUGGGCAGCACAGCAAGACUUUGUCAAAACAACA